CUGAAGAUAAAAAUGCUUUUAUAUUUACCAAAUAGAUUGUAUCUGAAAAUAGUAAGAAUUUGGCAAUAAAUACAAUUAUCUUGAUUAUCUAAUCUAGAAAUUUCAACACCUGCUAGUCCUGAACAAAAUUUUGCAAAGCACCUUUUGUUCAUUUCCCCAUCCCCCACUUUGCACUCUGGUAUUCAGUCAGAUUGUUGUGAGACAUCUGUAAAAAUUAUCUGCAGUGUCUCUCUUGCCAUAAUGCAGACAAUCCAGCAGGUCUCUUCACGAACUGCAGAAGCAAAAGCAAGCACCUCUCCAUGCUGCACACCAGUGUGCAUUUUUGCAUGUUUGAUAAGGCUUUCAGUAGAGUUGCGGUGAGAGGUAUUUCUAGCUGCCAUUUGAUGGACAGUCUGAUCCUGGUUGGUUACUGUAAAACAUAAUCUGAAAUAGAGGCUUAGACCCAUGGCAUAUUUUUAACUUCCUGACAUGCACAGCACAGUCUGCUGUUGAGGAAUUUUCCUCUCGCCAAAGUGAUGAGCAGACAAGGCACCACUGAUGCUACUCAAGCUUUGCUCAGUGGGAGGUUCAGAGCUGGAAAAUGAUAAGAGACAGGACAGACUGCAAUCUUCUUCAAGCAAAAGGAGUGAAGAAAAAUCCUUUGGUAAGUGUUUGCUAGGAGAACAGAAUUUGAUGAAAAGCACUGGGCUGAAGGUAAAUAAAUAACUGACCUCUGUAUUCAGUGUGGUGCUGAGCAGCUACAGCAAGAGAUAGAAUGUGUCAGAGCAACAAAUUCAUCUCUCAGUUGUACUGAUGUCACUGAGGGUCCUCUAAAUUUAUAGCUGGUGUUUCUCUAGCUCUGUAGUGAUGAUAUCAACCUUUCGGUUCAUUGAUGCUGCACUUACUGUGAUGCUCUUAUUAAUUGUGGGUAUAUUUAGCAUCAAAUACUGACAACAGAAGAUAUUCUAUAUUCACUGCCACAUGAAACACAGUAAAUUAUUUCCCCAAAUACAAUAGCCAAAAGUUUAAAGCAUCUGUUUCUUUGAAUACACUUGGUGAAACAAUGUUAGAAAGGAUGCACGUUUAAUUCCUCAAAAACAUAUAAAUGUUACAGAGAUAGAUUAUGUAGGUAUGAGAAUUUAAUUACUUGAGAUAGCUUCAAAAUCUUUAAUUUGUGAUAUUCAUUUUCAAACCAAAAUUUCCCACCACAUACCUCCAUGUCUGUAUCUAACAUAGACUAGUUUGGACUCUAAAGAAGGUAUUGAUGACACAGCAAAGAUUAAAAGCAAAUAUUGUGAAGUAUACAGAGCUUCAGAGUUCCCAGACAAACAUCCUUAUUUCUAGAAAUGUUAUUUUUGGACUGCAAUCCAUUAAUAGACCACUCCAAAGUCCAGCACAUCAUUAAUAGGUUAUUACAGUUCAUAGAAAAUUAUCUGUCUGACAAACAAUCCUUUUAUCACGUUAUGAACUGACUCCUCUAUUGAACACAAGUGCUGGUGUGAUGCACAUAAUGUGUGUGCUUCUGCAAAUGCAGAACCAGAAAGUUUGAAUGCAAAAAUAUGCAAAAUUAAUUUUCUGAGCAUAUUAUUUAUAGAAAUUAAUAUGUAAAGGGUGGGGGGUUGCUCAUUCCUGAGAAAGGAACACGCAGUCAGUGUAUGUCCAGUUCUGUAAAGGAC
rnacentral:lncRNA from 1 species